CAGUAGCCGCGGUAAUACGAAGGGUGCAAGCGUUACUCGGAAUUACUGGGCGUAAAGCGUGCGUAGGUGGUGGUUUAAGUCCGUUGUGAAAGCCCUGGGCUCAGCCUGGGAAUUGCAGUGGAUACUGGGUCACUAGAGUGUGGUAGAGGAUAGUGGAAUUUCCGGUGUAGCAGUGAAAUGCGUAGAGAUCGGAAGGAACAUCUGUGGCGAAGGCGACUAUCUGGGCCAACACUGACACUGAGGCACGAAAGCGUGGGGAGCAAACAGGAUUAGAUACCCCUGUAGUCCCUGUCCUUAUACU
rnacentral:rRNA from 1 species